rnacentral:rRNA from 1 species
UACGAAGGGGGCAAGCGUUGUUCGGAAUUACUGGGCGUAAAGGGCGCGCAGGCGGCCAGACAAGUCAGAUGUGAAAGCCCCGGGCUCAACCUGGGAACAGCAUUUGGGACUGUUUGGCUAGAGAUCGGGAGAGGAGGGUGGAAUUCCCGAGUGUAGAGGUGAAAUUCGUAGAUAUUGGGAAGAACACCGAGUGGCGAAGGCGGACUCUCUGGACCGAUACGUGACGCUGAGG